ACUUACCCGAGUACUACGAAUAUUAGAUUUAAAACUCAAAGGGCUUGGCGGUGCUUUAAACUUUUUAGGGGAACCUGUCCCAUAAUCGAUAGUCCGCGCUAGACCUUUCCCUUUUUUGCAAAAUUCAGUAUGUAUACCGUCGUCGUCAGGUAACUUUUAAAAAUAUAGAAGUUAGCAAUUAAAGAUAUAAUCUUAAACGUCAGAUCAAGGUGCAGCUUAUAAAAUGGAGAGGAUGGGUUACAAUUAAAAAUCAUAACUACGGAAGUAGGAUUGAAAUAUCCUAUUGAAGGAGGACUUAAUAGUAAGAGAUCCAUAUAAGGUCUUUGAAUAGAGCUCUAAGGCGUGCACACAUCGCCCGUCACCCUCA
rnacentral:rRNA from 1 species